UCGAACGAGCGAGAGAGAGCUUGCUUUCUCGAGCGAGUGGCGAACGGGUGACUAUCGCGUGAGGAACCUGCCUCAAAGAGGGGGACAACAGUUGGAAACGACUGCUAAUACCGCAUAAGCCCACGACCCGGCAUCGGGUUGAGGGAAAAGGAGCAAUCCGCUUUGAGAUGGCCUCGCGUCCGAUUAGCUAGUUGGUGAGGUAAUGGCCCACCAAGGCAACGAUCGGUAGCCGGACUGAGAGGUUGAACGGCCACAUUGGGACUGAGACACGGCCCAGACUCCUACGGGAGGCAGCAGUGGGGAAUAUUGCACAAUGGGGGAAACCCUGAUGCAGCGACGCCGCGUGGAGGAAGAAGGUCUUCGGAUUGUAAACUCCUGUUGUUGAGGAAGAUAAUGACGGUACUCAACAAGGAAGUGACGGCUAACUACGUGCCAGCAGCCGCGGUAAAACGUAGGUCACAAGCGUUGUCCGGAAUUACUGGGUGUAAAGGGAGCGCAGGCGGGAGAACAAAUUGGAAGUGAAAUCCAUGGGCUCAACCCAUGAACUGCUUUCAAAACUGUUUUUCUUGAGUAGUGCAGAGGUAGGCGGAAUUCCCGGUGUAGCGGUGGAAUGCGUAGAUAUCGGGAGGAACACCAGUGGCGAAGGCGGCCUACUGGGCACCAACUGACGCUGAGGCUCGAAAGUGUGGGUAGCAAACAGGAUUAGAUACCCUGGUAGUCCACACCGUAAACGAUGAUUACUAGGUGUUGGA
rnacentral:rRNA from 1 species